rnacentral:lncRNA from 1 species
CGUGCAGCGCCUCCAUGUGGAUUUGAUACCGACCCUGAUAUCAAUUUCCCCACAUUAAACCCAGCAUAUAUGAGGUUAAAACCAAAGCACUCAUUCCCCACUUACUCUCUGGCUUCCGGGCUCCAGAAUCCAUUAUCCUCCAUGGAGACAGACACCGUCAAGGACAAGCACCUGGAUUAUCUCCUCCCCACAAAGAGAUACAGGCUGGUGGGAAAGCUGCUGACCAGCAAGGUCACGGGCUCCCUCCUCUCUGCAAGUAGUCUCAAGGCCAAAGACAGGCUGGUGGGAAAGCUCCGACCAGCAAGGCCAUAUGCUCCCCCUCCCCUACCUAAAGCCCCAAAUAAAAACCCUUCCUUUUAGCUUUUCGGGGAGUUUGGGAUUUCAGCGUUAGCUGCCCUCUCUUCUUGCUCAGCGCUGUGCAAAAAUAGAAUUCCUACUUUCUUCCACCACCCCCGGUGUCAGAGAUUAGCUUGCUGCGCAACGGGACCGGCCGGAAAUAAUGGGUACCUUGGCAGCCCUCUGGGCUCUGUUUGUUUUGAAGUCGCCGCGACGCCCCGGCCAAAUUUUGAGUUAAGAAAACCUUUUUCUCUAUUCUCUUAAAGAACUAUGACUUACAGGAAUUCAUAAACAAAAUUGAAACAUUUGUCUUUUCCUCCCUAUCUGAGCCCUCCAAAACGUAAAAACCCCUGAUGAGCCUAACUUAAGGAGCCCACCAGCAUCACUGCCUUAUUUAAAGACUGGUUCAAUGAGAUGAAACAACCUACACCCCAUUUCAGCAGGAAGUAGCUAGAUCGGUCAUCACCCCAAAUCCCUCAAGAUUGAAGGAUGGACAUAAAAGAGGGGGGAGUUGAUACCGAUCCUGAUAUCAAUUUCCCCACAUUAAACCCAGCAUAUAUGAGGUUAAAACCAAAAUACUCAUUCCCCGCUUACUCUCUGGCUUCCGGGCUCCAGAAUCCACUAUCCUCCAUGGAGACAGACAGCGUCAAGGACAAGCACCUGGACUAUCUCCUCCCACAGAGAUACAGGCUGGUGGGAAAGCUGCUGACCAGCAAGGUCAUGGGCUUCCUCCUCUCUGCAAGUGUCUCAAGGCCAAAGACAGGCUGGUGGGAAAGCUCCGACCAGCAAGGUCACGGGCUUCCUCCUCUCUGCAAGUGUCUCAAGGCCAAAGACAGGCUGGUGGGAAAGCUCCGACCAGCAAGGCCAUAUGCUCCCCCUCCACUACCUAAAGCCCCAAAUAAAAACCCUUCUUUUUAGCUUUUCAGGGAGUUUGGGAUUUCAGCGUUAGCCGCCCUCUCUCCUUGCUCAGCACUGUGCAAAAAUAAAGUUCCUACUUUCUUCCACC